AUUGAACGCUGGCGGCAGGCCUAACACAUGCAAGUCGAACGGUAACAGGAAGCAGCUUGCUGCUUUGCUGACGAGUGGCGGACGGGUGAGUAAUGUCUGGGAAACUGCCUGAUGGAGGGGGAUAACUACUGGAAACGGUAGCUAAUACCGCAUAACGUCGCAAGACCAAAGAGGGGGACCUUCGGGCCUCUUGCCAUCGGAUGUGCCCAGAUGGGAUUAGCUAGGAGGUGGGGUAACGGCUCACCUAGGCGACGAUCCCUAGCUGGUCUGAGAGGAUGACCAGCCACACUGGAACUGAGACACGGUCCAGACUCCUACGGGAGGCAGCAGUGGGGAAUAUUGCACAAUGGGCGCAAGCCUGAUGCAGCCAUGCCGCGUGUAUGAAGAAGGCCUUCGGGUUGUAAAGUACUUUCAGCGGGGAGGAAGGGAGUAAAGUUAAUACCUUGGCUCAUUGACGUUACCCGCAGAAGAAGCACCGGCUAACUCCGUG
rnacentral:rRNA from 1 species